rnacentral:rRNA from 1 species
GAUCAUGGCUCAGGAUGAACGCUAGCUACAGGCUUAACACAUGCAAGUCGAGGGGAAACGACAUCGAAAGCUUGCUUUGAUAGGCGUCGACCGGCGCACGGGUGAGUAACGCGUAUCCAACCUGCCCACCACUUGGGGAUAACCUUGCGAAAGUAAGACUAAUACCCGAUGAUAUCUCUAGACGACAUCUGAAAGGGAUUAAAGAUUUAUCGGUGAUGGAUGGGGAUGCGUCUGAUUAGCUUGUUGGCGGGGUAACGGCCCACCAAGGCGACGAUCAGUAGGGGUUCUGAGAGGAAGGUCCCCCACAUUGGAACUGAGACACGGUCCAAACUCCUACGGGAGGCAGCAGUGAGGAAUAUUGGUCAAUGGGCGAGAGCCUGAACCAGCCAAGUAGCGUGCAGGACGACGGCCCUAUGGGUUGUAAACUGCUUUUAUAAGGGAAUAAAGUGAGUCUCGUGAGACUUUUUGCAUGUACCUUAUGAAUAAGGACCGGCUAAUUCCGUG